ACACACACUUCUCUCUCAAAAACACACUUCUCUCUCUCAUUUCUCUGAAAGAAAAUCUGCAUUUUCUCCCCUCCUUCAUCCAUUUUGACCAGCCACAAAUAACCAAGAAAAACAAGAGUAAAUCAAAUCUAAACAAUAAUAAUAAUAAGGGUUUACAAAAGAUUAAAUAAGGGUUGAUUCAAGCAAGGAUUAUGGGUUGUUUAAGGCUUGGAAUAAGGUUUAUUUGAAGCUUAAUAGGUCACGAAUUUUCUGCCCAAAACCACUCUCAAAUCCGAGUUCAUCAAGGAUUGAGGACUUUUGACGACCAUUGGGAAUUGGUAGCUUGAUAUUAACUUGCUAUUGCCGAUCAAGGUAACCUUGUGAAUCCAAGACGUGAUGGUUGAUGGAUGCUUGCGCUAGAGUUUGGGUUUAGUCUUACAUGGAUCAAAGAUUCAUUUGCCCCUAUUUGCAUUGUGCUUUAUGUACUUGUUUAUUGAUGAUGGAUUCACCGAAUCCCUUUAUUUUCAUAUAGUUCAUG